UACGGAGGGGGCUAGCGUUGUUCGGAAUUACUGGGCGUAAAGCGCACGUAGGCGGCUUUGUAAGUUAGAGGUGAAAGCCCGGAGCUCAACUCCGGAAUUGCCUUUAAGACUGCAUCGCUUGAAUCAUGGAGAGGUGAGUGGAAUUCCGGAGUGUAGAGGUGAAAUUCGUAGAUAUUCGCAAGAACACCAGUGGCGAAGGCGGCUCACUGGCCCGGUACUGACGCUGAGGUGCGAAAGCGU
rnacentral:rRNA from 1 species